CUUCACUUUAUUUAUUUUAUUUUAUUUUGCUGGGAGUAAAUUUCACCAUCUGUCUCCUGGAUCUCAAUCCAAUCCUGUCAUAACCCUUGAAGGGGGUGAAGUUAUGCUGCAGAUUCUAGCUUGGCCAGCGAUCUCAUUAAGCCUUUAUAAUGUUGGAUUUGAACCUAACAAAAUAUUGUCAAGAAAGUCCAACCUGUACUGCCAUACCUCCAGCAUCUGCCUCUGACACAGUGGGCCAACGUAAUAAAUCAGGAGGCAUUACUUUUGGAGCAUCACUGAAAUGCUCUCAUAAUUUCUGCUCUAGCAAUGGAGACUAAUUAACCAUUAACCAAUGGAGGAAAAUUAAUUGAGGGAGCUUGAAAGUAUAUAGAAACAGGGAUUGUAAUGAAAGAAAUUGGGAAGAACAGCAGCAGUGGCACUAGAGCAGGACAUGGAAGAGCCCAGGAUGAGUUUUGCCCCCCGUGGACUGCAUGCAUUGCACACACAGCUGGGUAAAGAUGUUUGUUUUCUGGUAGAUAGGGCUGGCUCUCACUCCAAGCCGCAUCAAGAGUUACUACCCAUAGGUGAUUUUUGUAACAGUAGUAGGAGCUACUGAUCAACGGGAAAAAGCUUAAUAAUUAAAUAAAAAACGGAGCUAAGGGUAAAGCAAGAAACAGUGGGAGUAAGCGACUAUAGCUGUACAUACUUUCUAGCUCGCUAAGUUUUGGUCCAGUGCAUCCUAUUAUCUCAGUCAACAGCUGGCUUUCUACCAGGCUGUGCACAUUCCUGGACUGGGGACUUUCAUGGUUGUCAGAGAGCGCGUAGUCAGCCAGAAGGGUCUGGUUACUGUUGAGAGACCCCUGUUUCACCUGGCAAAGGCUCUUGCGCAGGACCAUGACCUCCAGUAUGACUCCAUAGAUGUUGCAGGACAUGACCAGUAUCAGCAACUUCCGUAUGCUCAGAUAGCCUCAGAAAAUGGCAUCUCUGCAGACGCGGCGCAGCUUUGCGUGGAAAGGACCGUGUGCCUUUUCAGCGCCUGCAUAGAGAAGAGGCGGAACGUUGCUUUCAUUUGGAGAGACGUUGGCAUGCUGCUGAUUGAAGGAAAACGGGUCCAAAUGAAAUUCUAUGAGGACUUCCUGGAGAAGCUCAACGGGACUGCUGACAUGUUGCAGGCUCUUCUUGGGGUAGGUUUUGCAUUUUCCCAGCACUACCUCUGAUUCUUCUGAAAUGCCUUCCGGGGACUAGGGGACUGCUUUCUCCUGGCCUGCCAUGCUUCUUCAGCCACCUGGGCUCCUGGUGGUCUGCAGGAAAGCAGGCUCUGUAGAGCUCUUCCCUUACACGAGGGGGCGCGGCUCUGUGCCAGGAUAUGCAACCUCAAAAGGCCUUGCUUUUUGUCAAGAGACCAGAGGAGCGGUGAGCGUCACUGCUCAGUCCCAACUCAGAGCAUGGAGCAGAGACACAGGCACAGCAAGGCUUGCUGAGGCCCGAACCCCUCCCUUUGGCAGCUUGCGUUGUGUUGGGCUAAGACAGAUUGGAGCUGCCAGCCAUUCCCAUU